AGACAGAGCACGCUAGCGUUGUUCGGAAUCAUUGGGCUUAAAGCGCGAGUAGGCGGCCGCGUAAGUACCUUGUGAAAGCCCCCGGCUCAACUGGGGAACAGCUCGGUAUACUGCGUGGCUUGAGGCAAGUAGGGGUGCCUGGAACUCUAGGUGGAGCGGUGAAAUGCGUAGAUAUCUAGAGGAACGCCCGUGGCGAAAGCGGGGCACUGGGCUUGUCCUGACGCUGAGACGCGAAAGCGUGGGGAGCAAACGGGAUUAGAUACCCCGGUAGUCCACGCCGUAAACGAUGCGCACUAGGUUUGUUGUUCUCUGACGAACAAUGGGCCGAAACGAAAGCGCUAAGUGCGCCGCCUGGGGAGUACGGCCGCAAGGCUAAA
rnacentral:rRNA from 1 species